rnacentral:rRNA from 1 species
CCGGAGGAAGGUGGGGAUGACGUCAAGUCCUCAUGGCCUUUAUGACCAGGGCUACACACGUACUACAAUGGCAGGUACAAAGGGCAGCCACUUAGCGAUAAGGCGCGAAUCCCAUAAAACCUGUCUCAGUCCGGAUUGGAGUCUGCAACUCGACUCCAUGAAGUUGGAAUCGCUAGUAAUCGCAGAUCAGCACGCUCGCGGUCGAGUACGUUCCGGGCCUU